rnacentral:misc_RNA from 1 species
GUGAAUCAUCGAAUUUUUGAACGCAAAUUGCACUCUCUAGUAUUUCGAAGAGCAUGCCUGUUCGAGGGUCAGUUAAAUACACAUCGGUGUUGUUGCUGUCUUUCGUGGUGACGUUUCGGAUUUGAGUCGUCUUACCUUUGGUUAACCUUCUUAAUAUUUUUGCAUGACUUUCGAUCGUAUUUCAAUCGUUUACGUACGUUUGAGAUAUCGA